GUAGGGAGCAAGCGUUAUCCGGAUUUACUGGGUGUAAAGGGCGCGCAGGCGGGAAGACAAGUUGGGAGUGAAAUCCGGGGGCUCAACCCCCGAACUGCUUUCAAAACUGUUUUUCUUGAGUGAUGGAGAGGCAGGCGGAAUUCCCAGUGUAGCGGUGAAAUGCGUAGAUAUUGGGAGGAACACCAGUGGCGAAGGCGGCCUGCUGGACAUUAACUGACGCUGAGGCGCGAAAGCGUGGGGAGCAAACAGGAUUAGAUACCCUGGUAGUCCACGCCGUAAACGAUGGAUACUAGGUGUGGGAGGUAUUGACCCCCUUCCGUGCCGGCGUUAACACAAUAAGUAUCCCACCUGGGGAGUACGAUCGCAAGGUUG
rnacentral:rRNA from 1 species